rnacentral:rRNA from 1 species
ACUCCUACGGGAGGCAGCAGUAGGGAAUCUUCCACAAUGGGCGCAAGCCUGAUGGAGCAACACCGCGUGAGUGAAGAAGGGUUUCGGCUCGUAAAGUUCUGUUGUUAAAGAAGAACACGUAUGAGAGUAACUGUUCAUACGUUGACGGUAUUUAACCAGAAAGUCACGGCUAACUACGUGCCAGCAGCCGCGGUAAUACGUAGGUGGCAAGCGUUAUCCGGAUUUAUUGGGCGUAAAGAGAGUGCAGGCGGUUUUCUAAGUCUGAUGUGAAAGCCUUCGGCUUAACCGGAGAAGUGCAUCGGAAACUGGAUAACUUGAGUGCAGAAGAGGGUAGUGGAACUCCAUGUGUAGCGGUGGAAUGCGUAGAUAUAUGGAAGAACACCAGUGGCGAAGGCGGCUACCUGGUCUGCAACUGACGCUGAGACUCGAAAGCAUGGGUAGCGAACAGGAUUAGAUACCCUGGUAGGAUAGCG